rfam:Oryza sativa Japonica Group DNA, chromosome 3, cultivar: Nipponbare, complete sequence.
AGCAAGGUAAUACUCCCUCUCUCUCCCGUCCUAUUUUAAGUGUCUUAUUUAAAAAAUUUUAAUAAUUAAUAUUUUUAUUGUUAUGACAUGAUAAAAUAUGAAUAGUACUUUACUCGUGAUUUAUGUUCCUAAAUUUUUUUUAAAAAUUUUCAAAUAAAACGGACUGUCAAAGUUGGACGCGAAAAACCAUGGUUACACCUAAA